AAACAUGGCUCUUUGAGAUUUAUAUAUAAAGAGUCGGGCCUGCCCAGUGAUGUAUUUUUAACGGCCGCGGUACUCUGACCGUGCGAAGGUAGCAUAAUCAUUUGCCCUAUAAUUGAGGGCUAGUAUGAAUGGUUUGACAUGAGCAUAACUGUCUCCUUAAAAUUUUAUAAAAUUUGGUUUUUAGGUGAAGAAACCUAAAUUAAAUUGAAAGACAAGAAGACCCUAUCGAGCUUUAGAAUAAUUAGUUAAAAAAUAUAAAUAAAACAAUUAAUUUUAAUUAAAAACUUUGGUUGGGGCGACUGAGGAACAUGUAAAGCUUCCUUAAUUAAACAAUGCUGAUAAGCAAUGAUCCAGGAAAUCUGAUUAAAAAAAUUAGUUACCGUAGGGAUAACAGCAUAAUCUUUUUUGAGAGCUCUUAUCGAAAAAAAGGUUUGUGACCUCGAUGUUGGACUAGGAUAUCCUAAAGAUGUAGAAGUCUUUAAUGGUUGCUCUGUUCGAGCAUAAAAAUCCUACGUGAUC
rnacentral:rRNA from 1 species